GUGCUCACUUUGGGAGCACAUAUACUAAAAUUGGAACAGUACAGAGAAGAUUAGCAUGGCCCCUGAGUAAGGAUGACAUGCAAAUUUGUGAGGCAUUCCAUAUCUUU